AGGGGGAGAAUCCCGUGCGAUGAGAUGCCCAAUUCCAUGUAAAGUGCUUUCUAACAGACGAGAUGUUUGGGAAUGCAGCUCUAAGUGGGUGGGAAAUUCCAUCUAAAGCUAAAUAUUGGCGAGAGACCGAUAGCGAACAAGUACAGUGAUGGAAAGAUGAAAAGAACUUUGAAAAGAGAGAGAAAAAAUACGUGAAAUUGUUGAAAGGGAAGGGCUUGAGAUCAGACUUGGUAUUUUGCGUUCCCUUCCGUUUUGGGUGGGUUCCUCGCAGCUUACUGGGGCAGCAUCGGUUUGGAUGGGAGGAAAAUGACAUUGGAAUGUAGCUCUACUUCUGUGAAGUGUUAUAGACUUUGUUGAUACUGCCUAUCUAGACCGAGGACUGCGUCUUUGACUAGGAUGCUGGGGUAAUGAUCUUAAGCCGCCCGCCUUGAAACACGG
rnacentral:rRNA from 1 species